CUUUUUCUCCAUAGCACGCCCAGCGGAAGGGUGAACAUUGGGAAGGGGAUUUUAGGCGGUGGUACGCUGCAAAAUGGGGAAAAAAAAGGAUUUGAUCUUCCAUCGGCAGCAAUAUGUAAGAAGUGUAAAGAGUACUAUGCAGGGUGAAGCUUUAGCUGCAGGAUUUCGCCUUCUGAAAACCGUUCCUCCCUGAGCUGAAAAUGGUGGUAGUACAGGAUAGUACUUACUGCAAAUUGAUGGUCUCGAUUUGGGUGAGCUCGGCGUUGAAGGAACCGUCCCGUGCCGUGGCGUGCUGCCUGAUGCCAAGAACCCUGCACCCAACCCUCCUCAUUCGCUCGUACGGGUUCGUCGACCUGACGCAAAAGCAAAAUUUCAAUUCAGUUCAGUUCAAGUUCAGUAUAUCUCAAGAGAAUUCAGUUGAGUUGAGUUGAGUUGAGUUGAGGAAUCAUUUUGAUGUUACAGUUAGAGUUAGAGUAGAGGUACCUGUAGAGGAAGCUCUUGUCGUGGAGGCCGACGACGAGCGUGGUGGCGGCGAGCUGGUUCACCGUCGCCACCACCGUCUCCCCGACCUCCCCCUCCCGAACCACUAUCUCCACCUUCGCCUGCAUACCAUUUCACAAUUCAACAAGAUGAUUAAUUGCUUCUUUCUUUCUUUGUUUUGAGUUGACCCAACUACCACCAUUGAUUGAUUGAUUGGUUGAUUGGUUUACCUCCGC